CCUCUCCCUCUCCUCAUCUAUCUGUCUCUGUCUCUGUCUCUCUGUAUGUGGCUACAUGGUCUCUAAGAAGAAGUAUGAUUGCUUUAAUCUAGGUUGGUUUGUCUCCUCUCUCCCUCUUCGUUCCAGUAACCCUCUCGCCCUUGGGGAUAGGAUGUGCUGUGAUUCUUUGGUGGUAUUAUUAUAUGAGGAGAGGGACUUGCAGAUUUGGCACUUCUUGUGUUUGAUUGAAUUCUUAUAUUCAUCUUGUUGAAGCCUGCCAUCCAACGAGUGGGUUUCAUUUGAAAUUCUUAGUUUGGGUGUUUAAUUCUUGUUUUUAUUCAAAU